rnacentral:rRNA from 1 species
ACGGGAGGCAGCAGUGAGGAAUAUUGGUCAAUGGGCGGAAGCCUGAACCAGCCAAGUCGCGUGAAGGAUGAAGGUAUUAUGUAUUGUAAACUUCUUUAGCUGUGGAGCAAUAAUCGCCAUGCAUGGCGAGAUGAGAGUACACAGAGAAUAAGGAUCGGCUAACUCCGUGCCAGCAGCCGCGGUAAUACGGAGGAUCCGAGCGUUAUCCGGAUUUAUUGGGUUUAAAGGGUGCGCAGGCGGCUUUCUAAGUCAGUGGUUAAAUAGCGGUGCUCAACGCCGUCCCGCCAUUGAUACUGGAGAGCUUGAUUGCGGUCGAGGUUUGCGGAAUUCGUCGUGUAGCGGUGAAAUGCAUAGAUAUGACGAAGAACCCCGAUUGCGAAGGCAGCCUUCUGGAGCAUGAUUGACGCUGAGGCUCGAAAGUGCGGGUAUCGAACAGGAUUAGAUACCCUGGUA